CCUCUGUGGUCUGGGGGUGUGUUUUCUAAGCGUCCUCAGGAAGGAUGAGAUGAAAGACUGCUGCCUUACAAGUCAGCCUUCAUUCAAAGUCUGCUGCCUUCUGUAGCUGCUUGGGAGACAGAGCCAGGCCAAACGGCUGGACUUCUUCAGUCGCACCCUGAAGUCAAGUAUCCAUUUUCAGAUGUGUGGAAGAGAUGCCCAAAAGCAAAAAGGCAACCACUGCAAGCCUGCAGAGCACCAGGAUGCUGUGGUGCAAGGGCAGUACAAGCAGCAGUGCCAGGAGCCUGGAGGACUCUCAGGCAGGAGGGGGAAGCCUGUGCCCAAAUUCAACAAGCUUCUGGUUUAAGAGGUCUUUGCUAAUUUAGAAGGAGCCUAUCUGGAAUGGACAAAUGCAGGCAUCAGGUCAACUGCCAAAAAAAGAGCAGACAGGAAGUGAAAAUCAUUACUUUUAUGAUGGACACCUUAAGGACUGAUCAGCUACAAAAACAGAUGAACUUUCUUUUCACCUUACACUGUGUACUUGGGUCAGUGUACGCGGACAGGAGCAGAGCACUGCCUCUGCCCCCGGGCUUUCUGAAGAAGCCUGCUGAUCUUUAAUUAGCCCACCUCUAGGUGCCCACCUCAGCCGUGAUUUACAGGUCCAGUUUCACCUGAGAGCUGCUGACCCACAGGAGGACCUGCGAGGCUGUACCCAGAGAUAAGGUGAGAGCUGAGCCCUGGCUUGUCAGCAGAGCCAGCGGAGAGGUCGGCCCUUGCCCAGGGUCAUCCAUCGAGCUUACAGAGGGAAACAUCCCCGCAGGGAGGAAGGGCUUGCUGGGCUAGCUAAAGGUCUAAGGCAGAGAUAAAGCCUUUUGGAGGCAGCCUGUUACCGUGGUGUCUGCCUUCCUGGCUAGGCAUGCAGACCCAUACUCAUGAUGGCUCUCCGUGUUCCCCCCCAGGUUGUCUGCAACACUGUGUAAUCCUCGCAUGCAUCCUCACAAAAGCGGCAUCAUCUCACCCGGAAUGAUGACUUCUUUCUCAGCUGGAGCUUUCAGCCGAAAUGGACAGCUUCCAGAGGAGAUUCUGUAUGCUGAGGGCUGGGAGAGGGGAUGCUGGUUGGGAAAUCUGUUCCAGCAUUGUGGUGGGGGUUAAAUUAGACGGCUGUCAUCUGGCCUUGCAGAAAGCAAAUAAAGCCUCAUUGCUUCGUACCA
rnacentral:lncRNA from 1 species